UGUGAUGUUAUAUAUGUGUAUAUAGAGAUAUAAUGUAAUAAUAGCUAAGUAAAUUUAAUAUUAUAUAUGAUGUCUAUGAAGAUUCAUCAAGUACUAGGGGCCGGAAGAAGCAAAGAAGCAGCCUGCGGGUAGAUUGUCAUGACACGUGGGAACUUCCUCUGAUGAUUUGCUUGCACGCGUGGGUUUAAACUAAACAGCAGGGGACAUUGUACUCCCCACGUCAAUAUUUGGAGAGUUUACACGUAGCACGUUACAAAUAAUACAAAAGACAUGUGUUGUUCAAGAGCAGGAUGUGCAGUUUAUAGAUAUAUUUUGCACACAGGGGACACACUAAACUAAUAUAGAGAGUAUAUAUGUCUCUAAUGAAUAGACAGACUAAAUAGGUGUGUGGUAACACCGUUUAUGUGUCUCUAAUUCAAAAAACCACAGGACACAUGAUAAACUGCAGUGACAUGUGCGUUUAAGUAAUAAUAAAAGAGAUAAAAAAGUACACAUGAAUAAUACAAUAUCAGUAUUUAAGUCGGACUGCACGUGCAUUGGUGGUUGGAUACGAGGAGGUGAUUUAUUUAUUCAGGCAUCAAGUUAAACAUUCAAAAGCGUUAAUUCCGCGUGAUUUAUUCCCCGCUGAGGGCCAAUUCAAGCCAAGAGGUAAUACUCUCGUAAAAUCUCAAGCCUUUUAAGCAAUUUUGUAAUUUUUCUUUCGCUCCUCGUUUAAACGAUGACGACGUUUAAGCGGUACAACAUAAAAGAACAUUUACCGCAAAGAUGAUGCACAAAAAAUAUCAAGAAGAAAAGCAACAAAAAAAAUAAAAGAAAAAUAAACUAUGAUGCUGAACAAGAAAGAUGAAGAGGUGAAAAAAAAAUAAAGAAAAUAAAAUGUUUUUAUUUUUUGAUAAGUCGUUUUUCAAAGCUCGAUGAUGGGCACCCUGUUGCGAGAAAGACUCAUCGUUGAUGGAAGGAAUAAUAUAUCUUUCUCGCUCUUAAUUUAUAUUCUGCAAUGACGAGACUGCUUUGAAAAUUGAAACAGCCAAGAUGCAGAUAUACUUGAUGGUUUACAUUCGGUAAAGCGAAAGCGAGCGAAAAGGUUGAUGGUGAUGACGGACACCGUGAAGAUAAAUUUAACGGUGAUAUAGUUAUUUUGUUACGUUAAAAAUCUAAAUAAUAACGAUAAAAAUAGUUAAGAAAGAGUUAAUGCCGAUUACGAUUGAUUGAGUGAAAGACUUGGGAAACUUAUUUAUUUAUUUAUGUAGAUAUUGUUGCUAUUGGAAAAUUAGACAGUCAAAGCUUAUAGAAAGUUUUUAAUAGAUAGAAUUCAAGUUAAUUCUGUGCUAUUUUGCGGAUACUAAAAUUAAGAAUUUACACAUUUUUAUUGCUUAAAGUUAUUUGUUGCAUGUUUGUAUUUUAAAAGAUUUACUGCAGUUGUCAUAACCAUAACCAUAAUCAUAACUAUGUUCAUGAUUAAUUUAAUAAACUCCUUGUUUUAUUUUAUUUUACUAUGUUUCAUUGUUAUAACAAUGUUAAUACAUGCCGUGACACACAGUAUAAAUUGUAUUAAAUUACUUUUAACAAUUACAGCAUGACUUAUUGUCUUUUGUGUUUAAUUAAUUCUAAAAUAAAAAAUAUUAAUGUUAAGUAUCGAUUUGCUCAAUAGCACAGAAUACAUGAAUCAUAAAUUAUAUAUUAUAUAUAUAAUAUGAAAUGUCUGUCAGCAUACUUGUGCAAAAACUGGCAAGACCUCUUUAAAGAGCAAUUAGCACAUAAUUAAAAAUAUAAUAAAAACAACGAAUAUGCAAACUUACUCCAGUUGAUAAUGAGUAUCCAGGUCUGAUUCAUCAACAAAUCGAUCUCCUGUUAUACUUGUAGAAUCAAGAAGACUUUCAGAGCCAAAUUUACGUUGCGUUGAAGCAGGUGGCG